rnacentral:rRNA from 1 species
UACGGAGGAUCCGAGCGUUAUCCGGAUUUAUUGGGUUUAAAGGGUGCGCAGGUUGUUUGAUAAGUCAGUGGUGAAAGUCUGUCGCUUAACGGUAGGAUUGCCAUUGAUACUGUUAGACUUGAAUAUGGAUGAGGUAGGCGGAAUGUGUAGUGUAGCGGUGAAAUGCAUAGAUAUUACACAGAACACCGAUUGCGAAGGCAGCUUACUAAUCCAUCAUUGACGCUGAGGCACGAAAGCGUGGGGAUCAAACAGGA